rnacentral:rRNA from 1 species
UACGGGGGGAGCAAGCGUUGUUCGGAUUUACUGGGCGUAAAGGGCGCGUAGGCGGUCAGCACAAGUCAGUUGUGAAAUCUCCGGGCUUAACUCGGAAAGGUCAACUGAUACUGUGCGACUAGAGUGCAGAAGGGGCAACUGGAAUUCUCGGUGUAGCGGUGAAAAUGCGUAGAUAUCGAGAGGAACACCUGCGGCGAAGGCGGGUUGCUGGGCUGACACUGACGCUGAGGCACGAAGGCCAGGGGGAGCAAACGGG